GAAAAAGCAUUCUUGUUAUUGUCAAUAAUUUUGCAUCCGUAUAUACAACAAUUUUUGUUGGUUUUUCAAAUCUUAGACAUUAUACAAUUAAAAAACAAAUACAAAUGUAUCAUUAUGUAAUGUUUGUACCAGUUGUGUGGGUUUUCUUUAAAAUCAAAGUUCUUAUGCUUUAUGUGCUACUUCCUCAUAGCAACAUCUAAUACACAGAACAUAUAAUAAUGAAGCAUUCUUUUAUUAUUUAUUUCUUUCAUACAGAGAUGAACGGCCUACAAAAUUGUACAUGCUAAUCAGUCUGCAUCUACAUGUGUAAACCUUUUUUCAUAUUCUUGUAAAACAGUGAAUAAAUUCUUCAAUACAAUC
rnacentral:sRNA from 1 species